rnacentral:rRNA from 1 species
AGUGAACGCUGGCGGUAGGCCUAACACAUGCAAGUCGAACGGCCGCACAGUAAGAGCUUGCCCUUACGGUUGGCGACUGGCGGAUGGGUGAGGCAUACAUCGGCAUCUUCUUUUUCGUGGGGGAUAACGUGGGGCCACUUCUGCUACUACCUCAUAUGUCCUACGGCUUAAUUCAGAGGUUCUUCACAGCUUUCCUGACUCUUUUAGACGAUGUCGGAUUAGCUAGUUGGCGGGGUAAGGUCCCACCAAGGCGACGCUGCGUAGCUGGUCUGAGAGGAUGAUCAGCCACACUGGAACUGAGACACGGUCCAGACUCCUACGGGAGGCAGCAGUGGGGAAUAUUGGACAAUGGGCGAAAGCCUGAUGGAGCCAUACCGCGUGAGUGAAGAAGGCCUUCGGGUUGUAAAGCCCUUUUGUUAGGAAAGAAAAGAAGCAGGAGAAACCCCGGAUGUUCUGACGGUACCCAAAGAGUAAGCAACGGCUAACUUCGUG